rnacentral:rRNA from 1 species
AGAACGAACGCUGGCGGCAGGCUUAACACAUGCAAGUCGAACGCUGUAGCAAUACAGAGUGGCAGACGGGUGAGUAACGCGUGGGAACGUGCCCUUCGGUUCGGAAUAACUCAGGGAAACUUGAGCUAAUACCGGAUACGUGCGAGAGCAGAAAGAUUUAUCGCCGAAGGAUCGGCCCGCGUCCGAUUAGCUAGUUGGUGAGGUAAUGGCUCACCAAGGCGACGAUCGGUAGCUGGUCUGAGAGGAUGAUCAGCCACAUUGGGACUGAGACACGGCCCAAACUCCUACGGGAGGCAGCAGUGGGGAAUAUUGGACAAUGGGCGCAAGCCUGAUCCAGCCAUGCCGCGUGAGUGAUGAAGGCCUUAGGGUUGUAAAGCUCUUUCGCCAGGGACGAUAAUGACGGUACCUGGAUAAGAAGCCCCGGCUAACUUCGUGCCAGCAGCCGCGGUAAUACGAAGGGGGCUAGCGUUGUUCGGAUUUACUGGGCGUAAAGCGCACGUAGGCGGAUCUUUAAGUCAGGGGUGAAAUCCCGAGGCUCAACCUCGGAACUGCCUUUGAUACUGGAGGUCUCGAGUCCGGGAGAGGUGAGUGGAACUGCGAGUGUAGAGGUGAAAUUCGUAGAUAUUCGCAAGAACACCAGUGGCGAAGGCGGCUCACUGGCCCGGUACUGACGCUGAGGUGCGAAAGCGU